AGCAUUUCAUACCAAAUCACCCAUGGAAACGGAGUGGGGGAGAGAGAGAGAGACAGAGAGAGAGAGAGAGUGGGACGGCUGAAGAAGAGGAGAGAAGACAGAAAACGCAGAGAAAGAAGACCGAAGAGGAUCAGAGAAGACGAAGCCAGGUUCCUCCACCAACUUGCAAUUGAAAAAUUAACAGAUGACCUUUAUUGUGGGGCCUACGGGAUAGACAGUUCAGAUCAUUGAUGAGGGUUCGAAUUGAAAUCUGCAAGAAGAGUAUGGAGAGGUAUGGAGAGAUGAGCUUAUCCUUGUAAUGUAGAUUGGCUGCUGAAAAUUGGGAAGGUAGUUUGUGUUUCUCCUUGAUGUGCGUUCUCCAGCGUCCAGUUUUGUUCUCUUUUUAAUUAAUUUUUUUAUUCACUAAUCAAAACAGCGUUGUUUUGGUACUACUUCAGGAAAGCGUAUUCUAGAAAAGUACCCUAGAGGAUCCGAACGCAAUGAUCUAGUGUUAUGGGCUCACCAUUGUAGAAAUAAAUAGUUGGCAUCAUGGCAUGACACGACAUGUCUAUAUCAUCAGUCCUGACGCAACAUAGACCCUAAACAAUAGUUGAAUCACGUAGCAAAGAAAGCUAUAACUCUUCUACAAUAUAUUGAAUCGGAAGAUUAUUAGAAAUAUUGGAAAAAGAAGAGAAUUCUCUCAAUAAAUUGUUUAUAAUAUCAAAAUUUGUUUUGCCCUAAGGUUUAUACUAGGACGAACCCUAAUUCAACUUAGGAAAUAAAUUGGAAAAGGCAACGCUUGCUAAUCAAGCCUAAAUAAAAAAAUUAUGAAAAUUACUAAAAAUAAAAAGAUUUGAAUUAAGCUUAAAUCUGGAAACUAUAAUGAAAAAUACAUAGUUCGGAAAAAAUCUAUUUGUCUAGAUCGAGUAAUUGACGAAUCAAUUAUUUUCAAAAAUGGCAAAAUCGCGAAUUGAAGGGGCCUAAACAUUGCAAUUUGACCAAAAUCCAUCGUAGGCCAUGGCGAAGCAAUGGGUAUUGGUUGUGAUGUCAUUUUCCAUGUUCCGGUUGAAUUCCACGCCAUUCUGAGCACGUGCCAUUUUUGCCUUUGCCUUGUUUGUCCAAGAGUUCUAAAAACUCCAUGGCUAAACACUCUGCAUCAAGUCCACAUCGUAGGGUAAAAUUGUAGUAGACAACCUUCCGUUGACAAUGUCAAUUGGACAAAGGAGGUCAAUGUCAUAUAGAAACCUCAGGGAGGUAUUGUAAUUUCAUUAAACUUCAAGGGACGCUAGUGUAAUUUAUCAUUUUUUUUCCUACUUUGGUCCAAUUGCUAACUUUUAUCAUGUUUAAAGGGCAAUGUUGGAAUUUUAAAAUUAGCUUUCCACUUUGGUAAUUGAAAAAUUAAAUUUUCUCACUUUGGUCCCUAAAAACAACCAAGUUUUCCCACUUUGGACCCUAAAUCCAAAUUCAAACCUAAUCCAAUCGCAAAAGCAUCCUCGCCCCAUAACUCAUCUCACACCCAUCCAAUCUCAAAAACCAAUUUCAUAUUGGUAAAA